rnacentral:rRNA from 1 species
GACGAACGCUGGCGGCGUGCUUAACACAUGCAAGUCGAACGGUAAGGCCCUUCGGGGUACACGAGUGGCGAACGGGUGAGUAACACGUGGGUGAUCUGCCCUGCACUUCGGGAUAAGCCUGGGAAACUGGGUCUAAUACCGGAUAGGACUCCGGACUGCAUGGUCUGGGGUGGAAAGCUUUGCGGUGUGGGAUGGGCCCGCGGCAUAUCAGCUUGUUGGUGGGGUGAUGGCCUACCAAGGCGACGACGGGUAGCCGGCCUGAGAGGGGGACCGGGCACACUGGGACUGAGAGACGGACCAGACUCCUACGGGAGGCAGCAGGGGGGAAUAUUGCACAAUGGGGGCGAGCCUGAUGCGGCGACGCCGCGGGAGGGAUGACGGCCUUCGGGUUGUAAACCUCUUUCAGCAUCGACGAAGCGAAAGUGACGGUAGGUGCAGAAGAAGGACCGGCCAACUACGUGCCAGCCGCCGCGGUAA